UACGGGGGGGGGCAAGCGUUGUUCGGAAUUACUGGGCGUAAAGGGCUCGUAGGCGGCCAACUAAGUCAGACGUGAAAUCCCCAGGCUCAACCUGGGAACUGCGUCUGAUACUGGAUGGCUUGAAUCCGGGAGAGGGAUGUGGAAUUCCAGGUGUAGCGGUGAAAUGCGUAGAUAUCUGGAGGAACAUCGGUGGCGAAGGCGGCAUCCUGGACCGGUAUUGACGCUGAGGCGCGAAAGCCAGGGGAGCAAACGGG
rnacentral:rRNA from 1 species